rnacentral:misc_RNA from 1 species
GACGAACCGUGCGAACGUUGUUCGGAAUCACUGGGCUUAAAGGGCGCGUAGGCGGAUGGGCAAGUCAGAAGUGAAAGCCCCCAGCUCAACUGGGGAAGUGCCUCUGAUACUGUCUGUCUCGAGGAAGGUAGGGGCACGUGGAACUUCCGGUGGAGCGGUGAAAUGCGUAGAGAUCGGAAGGAACACCGGUGGCGAAGGCGACGUGCUGGACCUUUUCUGACGCUGAGGCGCGAAAGCCAGGGUAGCGAAGAGG